rnacentral:ncRNA from 1 species
AAUACUUGUCGGCAAAACCGUCGUGAGGCGGUGACGCAAAGCCAAGGAACUUUAUUACAAACUACGCGUCGUCCUGCGAAGACCGCGGGCGAGUUUGGGUUUGGUAAAAAGAGUACGCCCGGUUGCAAUA